rnacentral:piRNA from 1 species
UGUGAAGAUCACUAGAGAAAUUAAUCCCCU